UAACUCAUCUUCCAACCUCUAGUGCUUUCC
rnacentral:piRNA from 1 species